UACAAUUUCACUUUUACGGUGCAUCUAGGGCUUGAAGAACCGCCGCCUUCUCUGCAGUUGAAGAACCACUGUUCUGCACGCCGGCGACGAAGCAGCAAAUGAACGAUUUGCAAUUGAGUAACCGCCGCCUUCUAUGCAGUUGAGGAACCGCAGCCUUCUAUGCAGUUGAAGAACCACCGUUCUGCACGCUGGCGACAAAGCAACAAACGGACGAUUUGUAGGCCGACGCGAAGCAGUUGAGGAACCACCGAUCUUCUUGGAAUUCGGCAACAGCGGCGACGGGCUUGAAACUAUAGAGUAGCCGAUUUGAAGAAAAUUGAACGGAGUCGGAGGAGAAAUAGAAGAUGGGGCCGAUCUGUGCAAUAACCGGUCCGUGCAUCUGAAAAAAAAGGUGUCUUGGUUGCGGGAUUUUUGGCCGGCGGUUGUGUGCUCCGAUCUGUGCAUUCCCGCAGGUCUGUGGAAGUCAACGGCCAACUCGACAUCGCCGGAGAGAUUACUGAAAUUUGGCACUAAAGGGCUUGCAAUUACGUUUGUAUCAUCGGCAUCAGAUUCUGAUGUUCUGAAUCAGGUUCAAGAGAGGUUUGAAGUUGAUAUAAAGGAGCUACUUGAACAAAUUGAUACUGCUACAUACAAUAUGCUUUUGUCUUGUUUUACUCUUUAUAUUUGAAACUGCAAUCUUCAAUAAAGUAGAGUAAAGUCAAC